CUCCCAGAAAAACUUCCCCGCGCUGACUGCAGUAGACGUGGAGGACUUGAUUGGGCAAGUGCUGAAGUUUGCCCCACACAGAUGGUCAGCUGAGAAGGACUGAGCCUUCAAAAACCAUGGAGCUCUAUUUUUUUUUUUUUGGAAGCAAGAGCUGUUGGCCAUCUUCUACACUGCUGCCAUCCUCCUGCCUCUUGCCCUCUGGCGGGCGCUACAGAUCCCUGCACACAAAAACAAUCAGGCACAAGAACAGCUUCUUUCCCACUGCCAUCACUCUACUGAGCUGCUGAUAAGUGGGCUCAUCCCCACUUUGGCCAUUCACCUACACAUUACAUACUUUAUCAUUCCAAUAUGCAUCUUGCACAAUACAUUUGCACUAUUACUUUGCACUCUACAUUCUUAUCUAUUUUGUAUUUUUUUUAUUCUUCUUUGUGUGACAGGAUGAGGUUUGCCCCUCUCCCUUACAUGUGCACGAGAGUGCAUAGCCUACCUGUGUUGCUGGCGUUGGGUGUCUCGCUGGACCAUGCUGCAGUCUCAUACAUGCUGCUGUGGGGCUAUCGUGGUGCCACAACCGAUUAAAGGGCCAGUGUUCCCCCGGCGCGUUCUUCAACCCACUGGUGCUGUUCUGGAUACUGGAAAAGCUGUUCUGGAUACUGGCAAAAGCUGUUCUGGAUACUGGAAAAGCUGUUCUGGAUACUGGCAAAAGCUGUUCUGGAUACUGGCAAAACUGUUCUGAACUCUGGUAACCCUGGUCUGAAUACUAGUGCAAGAAGUGGUUUGGAUAUAUUCUAUUAACUGUUGUACAUAUUGCAUGUGGGUUUUUCUUGUUAUUUGAUUUUGUUUAUUGUUUUCUCAUUAUGCAUGAUUGUUUAUUUUUUUUUAGUUUUUCUUGAGUGUCAUAGGCCAUUUCGCUUUGCCACAUUUGUAUAUUGCAAAUUAA